CCUCUGGAACUGGAGUUAUUGGUGGCAUCAUUGAAUGCUGAUAAUCAAAUCUGGGACCUCUGGAAGAACAAGUGUUCUUAGCCACUGAGCCAUCUCUCCAGCCCCACAUUGUCCCUCUUUCUUCUUAAGCUCCUGAGCAGAGGUGCCCCCUGGGUGUCAGAAAGCAGACACUUCAGAGUCACUACCUGCCUUAGUCAGUUUUGUGGGAUUCGGACAAUGCUCCCUGCCCUUCUCCAUACUCAUUUUCUUCAUCAUCUCUAGGACAGUGUUUCAGUGGGAGGAGUUGAUUCCCAAGGAAGCCCUGUCGUGCUGAGAGAAAAGCCAAGUUCUGAGCAGUGAGGACACUUUCUGCUUUCAUUCCUAUUUUGAAGGAGGUGAUGCGAGAAACAAGAAACAUCUUUGCUCAUGCUGAUGCAGCAAAUCUGGUAAAAGGUUUAUACCAGAAACUACAUCUGGCUUCGGACACUCCCACUCAUGUAUAGAGUCAGAGGAAAUCCAAAAGUAUGGAGUAUCAUGCCAACCUCCCAGGCCUUAGGAAACCAUUGACCAAUACCACAGCAAUGCGUGUGAAGUCUCUGCCUUUAUAUAGAAAUGUCGGGGAAACUACUUCCAUGAAUUCUCACCAGCAUGGCUGCCUAAACAAGAUCUGAACAAAGACCACAUCAAGAGACAUGUCACAUGAAAAAGGGAGAGAUCCUGUGGCAUGAAUCUUACAAGCAACUAGACAAUGGAAGGAGUAGGAGAAAUCGCCUUCCCUGGGGAAGAGGUCCCAACCCUGAAGUCGUUUACAUACAGGAAUAACACGACUUACAACAUCUGCAACAGGAACUGACGAAUCCCAGGAAGAGGUGGGAGCUUGUGCCAGUGUGGGUGCCCACUCAGUUCUGACCCUGCAAAACCAGCGCUGCAGAAUUUCUUCUAUAGACACAUGCACAAAUGCUAUCCCUCUUGGACCUACAGGAGGCAACAGCCAUUGUUGCCCUGUCCUUUCUCUGCUGCCAUUUAUGAGCUGAGCUUUUAACCAGUCUGCCACAGCCAUGCCUCAGGUCUCCAGGCUACAGCCUACGAUGUGUUAUCUUCUACUAAUAAAUGCGUGGAAUUCAUCUCU
rnacentral:lncRNA from 1 species